rnacentral:lncRNA from 1 species
ACGGGACCAGGCGCUGCCCGGGGGAUUCGGGCCGGCUCGCGGACGCUGCCAGUCUCGGGCGGCGUUGUCCGGCGCGCGGGAGGCCUGCAGGGCGGGCUGAGGAGAGAACCCCGCGCGCGGGCGAGGCGGAGCGAGUCAGCCAGCGAGCCACCGCGGCGACAGUUCUUCGGAAAACAUUUGGUUAAUGAGAGCACAGGACCACCAGAGGGAGUGUGGGGUCUACAUACAUACUUGAGGUAUUUGUGCUUUACCUUUGGUCUGGAAGCAGAACACUUAAAAAUUUGUGGGGUUUUUUUGGUACUGGGGAUCAAACUUGGGUCCUUGCGCUUGUGAGGCAGGCAGCAGAACCAUUGAGCUAAAUCGGCGCCCCUACACUUAAAAAUUUGAAUACAAUUUUAUUUCAUUUCUCCAGAAUGAUCAGACAAACCAUGGUGAAAAUUGGGAAAUGGAGCUGUUUGAAGUUGUCAUUUUUGUAGUAACAAUCAAAGCUGUUUUUCUUCUUUUAGAAAAAGGUACAUCUACUAGAAAAAUAAAAAUGAUUUGUUUUCAGAAUGAAAUAAUGGAUUAGGCAGAGUCUCACAUCUGAAAGUUAGGAAACAUCCAAAUACAAAUUUUUUUUGUUUUUUGAUAUAAUGUCUUUCUAUGCAGUUCAGACUGGCCUAGAAUGCACUAUGGAGUUAGGCUGGCCUUGAAUUUGCGGUGAUCCUCUUGCCUCAGCCUCUCUGGUGGUAAGAUUACAGGUGUGUGCCACCAUGCUUGGCAAAAAGGUUAAGAUUAAAAAUGUACACUUGAAUUGUAUGUUUUUGAAAUUGCUCAUUUUUUGGAAGGAGGAGUAAAAAAAGAAAGAUUAAAAACUAAAAGAGUAUUGUUUUACCCCUUAUGUAGUUGUGAACCCUUCCUAAGGUGGGUAGUGGUAAAUUUCUAAAAGCAUUUGUAGCAUUCUGGUUUAGUCUUGGCAAUCUAUAGAUGAUGUUAGACAAGGAGUCCCCUGGAAAUGGUCAUCUUGAGUAUCAAAAGUAGGGUGUGAAUUUCAAAUCAAUCUUAAUCUCUUAGUUUCCCAUCUCUGGAAAUUGAAGAACCUCCUUUGUCAUAUGAAAAUUACACAGUAGAAUUUGAGAGUCAAAAUGUUACUAUCACAGACUUAAUGCUGCAGUAAGUUAUUUUUUUUUAAUGAGUAAAACAUCCUAGAAAUUGAAUCUUUACUAGAAUAUAUUCUGAAUGAAUAUGGAAUGCUUUUUAUUCAUGUCAAAUAUUAACCAGUGAAAUUAUUUCCAUGUUUGACUUUUUGAAAAAUCAAGACAAAGUCUUAUAAUCUCUCUUUUUUUUUUUGGUACCAGGGAUCGAACUCGGGUCCUUGUGCUUGCAAGACAGGCGCCGGAACCACUGAGCUAAACCCCCAGCCUUAUAAUCUUAACAUAUAUUUUGGAUUUUGUCUCUACCAUAAAAAAUUAGGGGUGAGGAUUUAGCUCAGUGGUUCUGCCUGCCUUGCAAGUGCAAGGUCCCAAGUUCAAUCCCCGGUACCAAAAAAAAAAAAAA